GACAGAGGGUGCAAACGUUGUUCGGAAUUACUGGGCGUAAAGCGCGUGUAGGCGGUUUCUUAAGUCUGAUGUGAAAGCCCUGGGCUCAACCCAGGAAGUGCAUUGGAUACUGGGAAACUUGAAUACGGGAGAGGGUAGUGGAAUUCCUAGUGUAGGAGUGAAAUCCGUAGAUAUUAGGAGGAACACCGGUGGCGAAGGCGGCUACCUGGACCGAUAUUGACGCUGAGACGCGAAAGCGUGGGGAGCAAACAGG
rnacentral:rRNA from 1 species